rnacentral:tRNA from 1 species
GCCGGCGUGGCGAAAUGGUAAACGCAACAGACUUAAAAUCUGUUACCCUCACGGGUUUGUGGGUUCGAGUCCCACCGCCGGCACCG